GGUUAAGUCCCGCAACGAGCGCAACCCCUAUUGUUAGUUGCCAUCAUUCAGUUGGGCACUCUAGCGAGACUGCCGGUAAUAAACCGGAGGAAGGUGGGGAUGACGUCAAAUCAUCAUGCCCCUUAUGACCUGGGCUACACACGUGCUACAAUGGUUGGUACAACGAGUUGCGAGUCGGUGACGGCGAGCUAAUCUCUUAAAGCCAAUCUCAGUUCGGAUUGUAGGCUGCAACUCGCCUACAUGAAGUCGGAAUCGCUAGUAAUCGCGGAUCAGCACGCCGCGGUGAAUACGUUCCCGGGCCU
rnacentral:rRNA from 1 species